ACAUGCCUACAACAUAGAAUUAAUGCACUGGAUCCCAUUAGAACUCCACAGUUAAGCAUGCUCGGGCUAGAGUAGUACUAGAAUGGGUGACCUCUUGGGAAGUCCUAGUGUUUUACAUGCC
rnacentral:rRNA from 1 species